UUUAAUUCCCGCUCACUCAUCCCAAUUACAGAAAAACAAAAACUAAAACACAAAAACACUUGUAUCUCUCUUUCUCUAUUACACAAAAACACUCAUCUCUCACAACUGUACUCGUCUCUCUCUCCUGGCUCGUCUCUCUUGGCGUCUCUCUCCGAGCUAAUCCGCUCAUCUCUCCCGGCGUCUCUCUUCGACCAUCUCAACUUAGAAAACAGUUGGUGGUUUACCGCAUUAUUGGUUUAAUUCCAAGCGCAGAAUAUCUCUCACUUUAAUUUACUCGGAACAGAACAGUCGGUGGUUAACCGUGCAAUCAAUGACAUCUGCAUCCUUCUGCAGUGUAGUCGCCACAAUCUGAAUGUAGUAUAUAUCAUGAGUGUUGCCAAAUAUAUAUUGCUUGUGGAGAAAGAAUCAGGUUAAACAUUUCUUAUGCAGACUGCCAUUAUCAUUGUUCUUACCUUAAAUUUAAGUAACUAUUUAAUUGGGUUUAAUGCAGUUUUUCAGCGACUAUCCAAUGAUUAGUUCUGCAAGAAAAACCUAGUGUAUUGUCAUCACAACAAGUCUAGAACUGAAGCAUUGUUGCGUAAAUGUUACUUGGAAAGAGAAGUGCCAGAAUGGAGGUUGGACCUGGAGUUGUUGCUGCAAAGAGGAGUCAAAUUUGAGAUUGAAGCAUUGUCAGCACGCUCACUUUCUUUCUUGUCAGAGGUUUACCUGCCAUCUAAGAUUGAAGAGAUCGGUACUUGGCAAGUUUGACUGAAAAUAUCCAAGAUCAACUUGCUCAAGAGAUGGAAGAAAAAAUGGAUCAGAAAGUUCGGGAGAAUGUUAAGGCGAUGGUGUCCAAGUUGGCAGAAAAGAAUCCAGACCUCAAGACUGAUAUUGAAGACCUCAGUGUCGAGCCGACGUAUGAUGCCUAUGCAAGUGCAGCGAACACAGCCAACACGGAGACUGCUUGAUGUGAUGUGUGAUGUACUUAGAUACUCUUAUCUUAUUUUGCAAAGUUUAACUUGUAAUGUAAUCAUGACGUAAGAAUUUUAUGAAUUUGAACUGCUAUUUUUGUUGGAUGGUUGAAUUUUGAUUGUUGCAAAACUUGGAUGAAUGGUUUAUGGUUGAA